ACCACUGUUCAGUUCAGUAUAACAUAUUGUGAAAUGGAGUCAGCGGUUGGAGUAACUUCCUGCAGGUCAAGAGAGCUGCUGCUGUACAGCACCACUUCAGCAUAUGGAUUCUUUGUUAACCUUUGUGUGGGCCCCAGGUCAAUCCUAGUAAUGACUUAUGCCAGCUUGUGCUAACUGAGGAGCAGAAUGGAGAUAUGUACAUUGGCCGGCUCCAAGCAGGAGAUUCAUGGAAUGCGCUUCUCCCGGGGGACGGGUUUCCAGGAACAGUUUUCCUCUAAUGGUGUGCAAUGAGCCAGCCUGCAAGCAGGAGCAGACAGCUGCGUGUGCACAAGCCUGCCCUGGUGUUCAGCAGCAAAGUUGGUAGCCACAAGCAGACCCAUAAUCUGCCACGCCUUCUUCCUGUCUACUUCCCUAAAGUCCAUUUUGUGCUGACAGCAGAGCACAGAGGGACCACUCCUACAGACGUAACCACGUAACCUUCAGGAAGACCCAUGGCUCAACACCACUGCUUAUUUACCCUUCACCACAUUCUGACCCUUCUUGAGCCCCAGGCAUUGAAUGGACAGAACUGAAAUAGUAUGCAUUGUAGAAUAAGUCUGGUUAUGUUGUGUACAGUAUCAACAGUGAGCAGGUAUGUAAUAUGUACUGUGGAAAAGAAAACAAUAUGCUGUGGUAUUUCUAUCUAGGUAAAGGUAAGGCAGUAUUAUCAGCAAAAUGUAUGUAAAGUAUCAAAAGUACAAAUGCUAAUUUUGCAGAAAUAUUGCCCCUGUGACUGAUAUGUUAUUAACUUUGACAUUAUUUGAUUGUUAAUACCGAUGCAUCCAUGUGUAAUUAGCAUUUCACUGUUGUAGCUGGUCAAGGUAGAACUAGUUUCAACUACUACACAGAUAGGUACUUUAGUCCUAUCAUAUGUUUUUUAUGUAAAAUAUUAAUUUGAAAAGUGGAGUGCAUUAUACCCUCUGAAAUGUAGUGGAGUAGAAGUACCACAGCUACAUGGUAGCAACAUCAGUUGCUUAUAAUUCAAAGUUAAACUGUUUUUGAUUGAUAUCCAUGAAUCGGAUCAACACCAAUGUGUCCUUUUGUUGAGUUUAAGACAUAUAAAUCUACUUUUUUCAUGCCUAAUAAGUGGUUACUAUGUAAGGACUCAAGGUGCAUCCAUGGACAUGCAGAGGGAACAUGUCCUAACAUGACCCACUCACAACAAACCACUAAAGACCAUUUCCUGCCCUUACGUUCAGGCACUGUGUUUUUGGUCUGUUGAGAGAGGUGAAAUGUCAGCACUCACACAUAUUCCCUGUGUUAUGUUAUCUCCCUCUACACAUGUAACGCAGUGUUAUUUUAUCUACUUGUCCAAUUGUGUGCAUGUUAUCAGCUGUGUGUGUUUGCUCUCCUCCACAGUAAUGAGGGACUGAACACACCUGAAGCACCAAGGUCUUAGCAGUGGUGGUGCCUGUAACCAGUUCACAGGAACAAAGAGGGACUUCCACAGCACAGAAGUACACUAAGUGAAAUAUGUCCUCUUUCUUGAAUGGCGCCUCCUUCCAGAGGAUCACAUGUGGAAGUCGUUUCUACCUAACCUGCUUUCCAGCUGUUGCCUCAUCCCAUCUUGCAUAAGUGAGGACAUUAGUCACACAAAACAUUUACAAAUGAUCAGGUAAAAGAAGUGAAGGUGAUUUGAGCUUGACGCAAAGCAGGAGUCUCAAAUAAAACGUGAAGUAAAAGAAAACC